GUAGUGCGUCUGUGUCCCGUACACCAUGAGGCACAGACUUGCCACAUUAUUCUGUGUUCCAUGAGCGCGCACGUGAUGACGAAUUUAUCUUGAAGCAAACUUGGCACACAGUGAAGAUGUUUAAUCUUUAAUCUAAAGUAAAUUUUGCAGUUGUGCGGUUUGCUUUUAGCGUAAAAGUGGUGCAUGCGUUGAGUUAAAAGAAAAGUUCUGAAAAAGGCACUCUAAUAUGAAUGUUAUGAAACAGAUUCUUGGAAGAGAAAAUAUUUUUUUAUUAACCGUUUUAAAUGUGUUCGAUAUUUUAUAUUCAACUGGCAAAUCUACUCCUUUCAUCUUUAACUCUUAAUUUAGGUGUCUGUUAUGAAAUCCUGCUCAGUAGACAGUUUUGUAUCUGUUUGAAAUACUGAUUGCAGGAAUGGUAAGAUUCAAGAGGUUUAUGGUAAGAUUCGAGGGAUGUAUGGUAAGAUUUAAGAGGUGUAUGGUAACAUUCAAGAGGUGCAUGGUAAGAUUCAAGGGAUGUAUGGUAAGAUUUAAGGGGUGUAUGGUACGAUUCAAGAGGUGUAUGUAUGAUAGACAUGGGUAUAAUAAAACCAGAAGUUUUACAGCGAGAUGUGUAAAAUGUGUGGCAACUGUUCAGUAUAUGUACCUUUUGCAAUCCUGAAAGGUGAAUCCUUUUGAAUUUAACAUGCAAAUCUCAACACAUCAAAGAAAUAAGUAAAUCAUUUACACAAUGUGAGUAAAUUUGGACAUUUGUAAAAGAUAAAAUGGAAAGAGCUCCAUAUACGAAUGCCGCUUGA